rnacentral:lncRNA from 1 species
UGUCUGCCUCGUUCCUCUGUUUCCCAGUGCUAAUCCCCAGCAUAGUGCCUGUCACUGGAAAUAGUUAAUGGCAGAUACAUUUUGUUUUUGUAGAGCUCUCUCAGCCCUUAAAAAGUGUGAAUACUUCUCUUCCCUCCUGUUUCUACCCUCCCCCUUUUCCUUUAUUCUAACACCAGAAAUGCAUCUCUGAAAUACUGCAAUACCCGCACGUCCUUGAGCUUUAACUUAUGCACACAUACCUUUCCUCUAUUCACCUCCCCAAUCAGCGAGUCUGAAAGUUUCUCUUGAAAUGAACGCAGAUUCAGCACAUGACUCACAUGCUUGAAAAUCAAAGCCAGGGUCAGUGUCUCUCCUAAGGGGAAUGCAAGGCCCCACACCCAGUUAGUGCCUGGACGUUUCCUGCCAAAGCCUUGUCCUCUGCUCCAUCUUCCCUGUGGACACUGCUGUGCAGGUGGCCCCAGUCGUACCGACCAGAGGUCCUAGAAGAAGGCGUGCAUAACAAGUCCACCCAGGAACUGAACCUACGACCUGGUUCUUACUAUCUUUCCCAGCAUCAAGGUCAGCAUCAUCCUCAGGUACUACACUUAAUAUAUCAUCUGUUGGUCUACAAACUGAAGAGGAACACAGCUAUAGAGAAUGUAUCUGUACCGAGUGUCUAUAAAUUCUUCACAGAGGU